AUGACAUUCUCCUGGUAGCACAAGCCAGGAAACUUCUGCGAGACCUAGUGCUCCACUCUGGUUCUUGGUAGCCAGGUCCAGGCACUUCAAUUAACUUCCAGAAGAUGGCAGACCCUCCAGGAAUGCCAGAGCAAGAAACUGAUGUCUGACAACAGAGUGAGAGUUCAAAGAUUCUUUGUAGCAGACACUGUGAAUGAAGAACUUGAGGUUGCUAAGAGACUAAAAGCAAAAUAAAUUGUUUUAAUUAAAAGCCCAGAUCUUAGCUGGAGGAAGAGGAAAGGGUGAUAUGGUUUGGUUCUGUGACUUCACUCAAACCUUAUCUCAAAUUGUAAUCCCCACGUGUCAAGGAAGGGACUCGGUGGGAGGUGAUUAGAUCAUGGGGGUGGUUGCCGCAUGCUGUUCUUGUGAUAGUGAGUGAGUUCUCACGAGAUCUGAUGGUUUAAAAGUGUGGCACUUUCCCCUUCUUUCUCUCCUGCCACCAUAUAAAAAAUGCCUUGCUUCGCCUUCACCUACUGACAUGAUUGUAAGUUUCCUGAGGCCUUCCCAGCCAUGGAGAACUAUAAGUCAAUUAAACAUCUUUCCUUUAUAAAUUACAGAGGUAAUAUACAGCAGUGUGAAAAUGCACAAAUACAGAGCUCAUUGAAUAUGAAGUUGCCAGACAAGAUAUAAAAUACAUACGACUGGAUGGGAACAUUACCUGCUUUGUGAAUGGUGCUGGAUUAGCCAUGGCUACUUGUGAUACCAUUUUCCUUAGUAGUGGGAAGCCAGUCAACAUCUUGGAAUCGUGGAGGUGUUGUAAAGGAAGCUCAAGUAUAUCAAGCAUUCACAUUGCUCGCAGUUGAUCCUAAGGUUGAAGCCAUCCUUGUCAAUAUUUUUGGUAGUAUCGUCCACUGUGCUAUCAUUGCCAAUGGGAUCACCAAAGCCUUCCAGGCAUUAGAAUUGAAGGUGCUCUGGAAUGAACCAAUGUUCAAGAGGCCCAGAACAUACUCAACAAUAGUCUAACAGUGGACUCCCCAUUAUAUCAGCC
rnacentral:lncRNA from 1 species